CCUUCCUUGUUUUUCCCGCCUAUAUACCGCCGUCGUCAGCUUACCCUGUGAAGGCCUCAUAGUAAGCAGAAUUGGCACAACCCAAAACGUCAGGUCGAGGUGUAGCGUAUGGAAGGGGAAGAAAUGGGCUACAUUCACUAACACAGUGAAUCACGGACGAUAAACUGAAAUGUAUAUCUAAAGGAGGAUUUAGCAGUAAGCAGGAAAUAGAGUGUUCUGCUGAAAUUGGCCCUGAAGCGCGCACACACCGCCCGUCACUCUCCCCAAGCCUAACAAUCUAUAUAACUAAAACCCUACAAUCGCAAAGGGGAGGCAAGUCGUAACAUGGUAAGUGUACCGGAAGGUGCACUUGGAAAAAU
rnacentral:rRNA from 1 species